CGGUAGGUGAACCUGCGGAAGGAUCAUUCGA
rnacentral:rRNA from 1 species